rnacentral:rRNA from 1 species
UACAGAGGGUGCGAGCGUUAACUCGGAAUUACUGGGCGUAAAGCGCACGUAGGCGGCUUGGUAUGUCGGGUGUGAAAUCCCCGGGCUCAACCUGGGAACUGCAUCCGAAACUGCCUUGCUAGAGUAUGGGAGAGGGAAGUGGAAUUUCCGGUGUAGCGGUGAAAUGCGUAGAUAUCGGAAGGAACAUCAGUGGCGAAGGCGACUUCCUGGACCAGUACCGACGUCAGGCACGAAAGCGUGGGGAGCAAACAGG